rnacentral:misc_RNA from 1 species
UCCCCGUUACCGGGGCAGUCUAACUAGAGAAAUUCAACUAGCUAUAAGGGUUGCGCUCGUUAAUGGACUUAACCAAACAUCUCACGACACGAGCUGACGACGGCCAUGCAACACCUGUCACCGGGUUCCAAAUGGCACUCUCUUCUUUCGAGGAGAUUCCCGGGAUGUCAAACCCUGGUAAGGUUCUUCGCUUACCAUCGAAUUAAAGAACACGCUCCACCGCUUGUGCGGGUCCCCGUCAAUUCCUUUAUGUUUUAAGCUUGCGCUCGUACUCCACAGGCGGGAUGCUUAACGCGUUAGCUUCGCUACUAGAAGGGUCGAUACUCCUAACAGCUAGCAUCCAUCGUUUACGGCGUGGACUAC